rnacentral:rRNA from 1 species
GACGUAGGGUGCGAGCGUUGUCCGGAUUUAUUGGGCGUAAAGAGCGUGUAGGCGGCCUGGUAGGUCAGCUGUGAAAACUCGAGGCUCAACCUCGAGACGCCGGUUGAAACCAUCAGGCUAGAGUCCGGAAGAGGAGAGUGGAAUUCCCGGUGUAGCGGUGAAAUGCGCAGAUAUCGGGAAGAACACCCGUGGCUAAGGCGGCUCUCUAGUACGGUACUGACGCUGAGACGCGAAAGCGUGGGGGAGCGAACAGG